GUGGUAUUAGUUCAGUGGCAGAACCUCGCGCUGUGAACGCGAAGGCCAGGGUUCGAUUCCCGAUAUCACCCCA
rnacentral:tRNA from 1 species